GUUUGCAGAAGAAUUCGGAUUCCUGCGACCCCGGCACGGGCGACGAAGGUGGACACCGUUGGUUUUUAGUGGGUAGUCCGGCAUUGCACCUACCGCCGGGAGCCCCACACUCCCGCUGCCGAGCUUUCGGCGGCGGGGUCAGUGCGUAAAUGCAUUUUCCAACGUAAAAAAAAAAAAAAAAAAAAAAAAAAAAAAAAAAAAAAAAAAAAAAAAAAAAAAAAAAAAAAAAAAAGGGAAGAACACCCUGGUGACACCAGCCGUUUCGCCGGCUCGAUACCGCUGGUUCCAUUCAUCAAGCGAUUGCAUGCGAAUGCUCCGCCUGAUGAAUGAAACCGGGCAGCUGUCAUAG
rnacentral:misc_RNA from 1 species